rfam:Clostridium sp. CAG:75 genomic scaffold, scf489
AAAAAAGAUAGAGGUCGCACUCUUCAUGAGUAGGAUUUCGGAUGCGUCAGGCGCAGUAGAUGAGAUCAGAAAGGGAACAGUGCCGAAAGAAAGCUUGUCCUGCAGCAAGAUUUCUUGGGCAUGGCGUGAAUAACGACAUGACUGUCAUCAAGAGGAUGGAGAGCUAUCGGUUUG